ACGAACGCUGGCGGCGUGCUUAACACAUGCAAGUCGAACGGAAAGGCCCUGCUUUUGUGGGGUGCUCGAGUGGCGAACGGGUGAGUAACACGUGAGUAACCUGCCCUUGACUUUGGGAUAACUUCAGGAAACUGGGGCUAAUACCGGAUAGGAGCUCCUGCUGCAUGGUGGGGGUUGGAAAGUUUCGGCGGUUGGGGAUGGACUCGCGGCUUAUCAGCUUGUUGGUGGGGUAGUGGCUUACCAAGGCUUUGACGGGUAGCCGGCCUGAGAGGGUGACCGGCCACAUUGGGACUGAGAUACGGCCCAGACUCCUACGGGAGGCAGCAGUGGGGAAUAUUGCACAAUGGGCGGAAGCCUGAUGCAGCAACGCCGCGUGCGGGAUGACGGCCUUCGCGUUGUAAACCGCUUUCGCCUGUGACGAAGCGUGAGUGACGGUAAUGGGUAAAGAAGCACCGGCUAACUACGUG
rnacentral:rRNA from 1 species